ACAAAAAAGGUUAGAGGUGACACUGAAGGAGAAAAGUCAAGCAGUCACUGAUGUUGAGGCAGUAAGAGAACAACUGAGAGAAACCAGAGAAGAACUGCUGAAAGAGAAACAUGAUAACACUGUCUUAAUUGCUGAGACAGUGCAGCAAAAGAAGCUCCUAGGGAAAUAUAACAGAGUGUCUCAGUUCGCUGUGGAGGAAUUUGAGGCCUUACAGGAUACCUUGAACCUGGAGAGGGACUUGAGGACAGAGGCAGAGAACUUUGCCAGAGCGAUGGUGGUUGAGCAAAAGCAGCUGAAGAGACAGAGUCAGAUCCUGAUGCAGAGCUCCUUUCCCAGUCAAGCUCUGCAGGAAGCCCUUAGCCAGGUCACCAGACUAACUCAGGAUCUGGAGACACAGAGGCUCGAGCAUCAGCACCAGGUCUGUGUACACAACUCAAGCACACACCCAAGAAUCAUUUGUAGAUGUAACAUCACAUAUAGAGCUAGGAUUUUUUUAUUCUUGUUUGGGUAUGAUAGACAUGGAAGAGGAAAUGGUGAAUGCAAACAUCUGUACAGAAUGUAAGCUCCAUAAUGAUGUGGAAGUUAAGCUUCACUAUGAGACAUUUGGCCCGCACAUGAAUAACUAAUAACCAUUUGUAAUUUGGGUACAUUUCUUCUUUUUGGUUUGAAAUUCUCAAUGUCCAGUUCUCCAUGAAAUUUUCAUAUAUGUAACCCAUCAGUUUGCUUUACACAUGUAAUGCAUCAAAACAAGAAUUAUUUAUCUUCUUAAUUACAUAGAGGGGAAAUGGCUGCUGAAUUAUUACAGGUCAUGAUAGUUAAACCUAGGGGCCAUGACCUGCCAGAUUAAUAAUUAAAAGCAGCAGUGAAUCCUCCAGCUCCCUCCCACCUCAUCUGGCACUGAUGGAAAACAAUUAGAGUUGAGUGGGAUCACUGAGCUCUCCCGGUGCUGGGGUGGAGGUGAGCCAUACCCUUCAUUUGAGGAACAAUUAAAACACUGGUUAAGGAACUGAGGAUGGGGAGUGGAUGACUGAACGUCAACUGGCAGCUACCCAAUGAUACUUAUCAGAAAUCAUCAUUGCAGAAGCUGCAGCCAACACAGUGCUGCAGAGCUGCUCUUUUUUCAGCAGAAACCUUUGGUUUAUCACUGAACAUUUUUCACAUUUUGUCUCUUUAAGUAUAUAAGAAGGCACUGUCC